rnacentral:rRNA from 1 species
GACGAACGCUGGCGGCGUGCUUAACACAUGCAAGUCGAACGAGACCCCGUCUUCGGGUGGGUGUUCUAGUGGCGAACGGGUGAGUAACACGUGGGCAACCUGCCCCCGGCUCUGGGAUAACUCCAAGAAAUUGGGGCUAAUACCGGAUAUUUCCGCUGACCGCAUGGUCUGGUGGUGGAAAGGGUUUCCGGCUGGGGAUGGGCCCGCGGCCUAUCAGCUUGUUGGUGGGGUAGUGGCCUACCAAGGCGACGACGGGUAGCCGGCCUGAGAGGGUGACCGGCCACACUGGGACUGAGACACGGCCCAGACUCCUACGGGAGGCAGCAGUGGGGAAUAUUGCGCAAUGGGCGGAAGCCUGACGCAGCGACGCCGCGUGGGGGAUGACGGCCU